CCUCCCCAGAGUACGAAAAGCGAGGCUUGCGUACACAACAAACACCUUAUUUUGGGUUAACAACACACAGCUACCGGUUUUUGUUUUGAUAAAAUACUUUGGAAUUAGCGCGGGUUGGCUUCCUGCCUCCUAAGUAGCGUAAAAGCAGUUUGUAGCAUUCAGUUAGCAUGUUAGCUCGAUUCUGUCCAUAUCAUCAUUGUGAUUUAAGCCCUAAAAAGAUAUUGGAUGAAAAAUGAAGUGAAGAUACCAUAUUUCAGGUGUUCUUUCUCUUUUUUCCUUCUCUUUAUAGAGCCCCGCAUUGUGACAAAAAAAAAAGCAACCUCAAGAUCCUGUCUACGUGCCCACAUCCCUCCCAGGCCUGGAUUUCAGACGCAGUGGCGUGGAAGCGAUUUGAUGCCGUGCCGUCGCACGCUGUGCUGUGGAGGAAACGGCCCCCCUGACACCUUGGAGAUGCCGUGACCGAUCUCGCAGAUGUGACGCAUGACUACAGAAGAAACAACUGUCCAGAGGUAGCAAGCCCUGCAAAAAAACCCACUACAAAACGGAGUGGUAUUUUGCCACGCAGAUUCAGAGGCACACUGCAAUCUACAUUUUAUCAGGCAGGCCAGAUCUGAAGACGUCGGCCAAAGCUGUCAAAAGUUUGUCAUCGAUUCUCCUCGCCUUGUCAUCGCUCUUAUCUGAUCGUUCCGUGUUUCUGGCUGGAGCUUUUUCUCCUCUGUAGUGGAAACAAGUUAGAUUCCGAAAGCAUGUCCAUCCUGCUGUCUUGCUGAUUAUUUAUUUUUUUUAUACACGUUUCUAUGAGGGCUCUAUCUUGUAGUCAAGUAAUGCGAGGGUGGGUGAUAUCUCUAGCAAGGAUGUUCUCAAAACGACUCUACUGAUUUCUAUGAAAGGUAUGUGCAGUACACAGGCAUGUUACAUCAUACUAUUAUAUUAAAGGGUGGCGAAUGGAAUGAGGUAAUCUAAGUUUAAAUACAAAUUUCCCCAAAAUUAUGUCACCUCAUUCCUUAGUGCUAUUUAUAAAAAAAAAAAUAAUCA